CAGUAGCCGCGGUAAAACGGAGGGUGCAAGCGUUAUCCGGAUUUAUUGGGUUUAAAGGGUCCGUAGGCGGACUUAUAAGUCAGUGGUGAAAGCCUGUCGCUUAACGAUAGAACUGCCAUUGAUACUGUAAGUCUUGAGUAUAUUUGAGGUAGCUGGAAUAAGUAGUGUAGCGGUGAAAUGCAUAGAUAUUACUUAGAACACCAAUUGCGAAGGCAGGUUACCAAGAUAUAACUGACGCUGAGGGACGAAAGCGUGGGUAGCGAACAGGAUUAGAGACCCCCGUAGUCCCUGUCUCUUAUAC
rnacentral:rRNA from 1 species